rnacentral:lncRNA from 1 species
CGCUUCCAUGAACUGGAUCCUUAGGCUUCAUAGGAUUGGGCCUUGUCAUCAAAUCUUGAUUCUCUUUCCUUGGCCCAGGCUUCUCCUGAACCUUGUUACCGAAUUGGCACGAAAUCUGAUGGUUGCCUCCUAGGUAACUGAAAUGCCCUCCUAAGGCCACAUGACGUGGGAGGUAUGGGGAGGAUCAAAUCUACACUUGAAACCCACUAAUGUAUUUAAUACCAAAAUAAUAACCACCUAUAAUUAAACCCC